AAGAUUUUCAGAUCGAGCUUCACUCAGGAACGUUCCAAAACAUCAAGGAAAGUCGGUUAAUCAAGGCGAAUCAUCAUUUGUUUGGUGUGCUCAUUUGUAUCGGAAUAGAUGCCAUCAUUAGGUAGAAAGAAAAAAGGCUAUUUAAGAAGUUGGAGAAGGAUGGUAACACAGAGGAGGUCAGAAAUACCGAAUACCCUAUAUUGAAAUCCCUAAACUCAUUGAAUCCUAAAGAAUUCGGUGCUAUGAUACCCAGAAGCCCUACUAAUCUAUCGACCUAAACCAAGCAGGUCAGUAUAAGAAUGAGUCCAUUUCAUCCACCGACCUGGACCGAAUCGAGAACUGUCACUCAUGCCACCCAUUUUAAUAAAUCGAUUAAACCCUCGAUUUCGUUUCUUUUUCCUGUGUUUCAUACCGAUUAAUCUAUGGAUUUAUUCGGAUCUGCUCUAUGAUAAAAUUUAAUGAACAGAUCAAACACCAUAUUUCGUCUAUUUUCAUUAUUUUUUACACCUAUCAAUCUAUAUAUUUAGUCGUAUAUGCUUCAUGAUGAAAUAUAAUAAACCGA